rnacentral:rRNA from 1 species
AUUGAACGCUGGCGGAAUGCUUUACACAUGCAAGUCGAACGGUAGAGGGGGCAACCCCUCGAGAGUGGCGAACGGGUGAGUAAUAUAUCGGAACGUGCCCAGGCGUGGGGGAUAACGUAGCGAAAGUUACGCUAAUACCGCAUACGAUCUAAGGAUGAAAGCGGGGGAUCGCAAGACCUCGCGCGAUUGGAGCGGCCGAUAUCAGAUUAGGUAGUUGGUGGGGUAAAGGCUCACCAAGCCAACGAUCUGUAGCUGGUCUGAGAGGACGACCAGCCACACUGGAACUGAGCCAUGGUCCAGACUCCUACGGGAGGCAGCAGUGGGGAAUUUUGGACAAUGGACGCAAGUCUGAUCCAGCCAUUCCGCGUGCAGGAUGAAGGCCCUCGGGUUGUAAACUGCUUUUGUACGGAACGAAAAGGUCUCUCUUAAUACGGGGGGCUCAUGACGGUACCGUAAGAAUAAGCACCGGCUAACUACGUGCCAGCAGCCGCCGUAA